UGAAGUGCAGAUGGGCAGCACUGGCUC
rnacentral:piRNA from 1 species